rnacentral:lncRNA from 1 species
AUCAGGAGAUCUAUAUUAGGUCAGUUCACUCAACCCUGGUUUUCCUAUUUCAGCUUCCCUUGCAACUCCGUCAGUGGAAGCCAAGUUGGGGUAGACAUGGCACAAGGACAGCAAGGAAGAAAGAAAAAAAUGCAUCCCCUUUUUUGUUGUUAUUUUCUCAACAGUCUCUGGAAGAAAAGAAAAAGAAGAGAUGUCACUGGGAUGAUCUCUCCAAAUCAAUAGACAGCACUUUUUAACCAUAAGUUCAGUGACAACUCAUGACAACUUAUAUCCCCCUAGAAAUGUGAUGUCGAGAUGUCAGUCUUCAAAUUAAGAAAAAGAAAAAUCCAAAUCAUAAAAUCAAAUCUCUAUCUGAUAACAGUUUGAGCUUGGCAAAACCACCACCAGGGGGAGCAAGUUACUGGACAAAGGAAGUGAUGUACAGUUUCAGAAUUUUAAUAGAAAAUCCAGCUUCAAAGAACAACAUGAUACCACAAUUGGUAAGAAUAAAAGAGAAACAAGAUGACUCGAAAUUACAUGAACUCCUAACUCUCUAGUAUCUUAUUAAAAUAAAAUUGCUUUACUUUAGUUUCUGGAGUGAGUUGCUGUGACACUACCACAGUUAUAUUUUCUUUGUAAUGCGUUUUUCCCAGUGAAGUAUCCUAUCUUCCACAGCCCUUAUGACCUACAUGCUGACAGCACUUUUGAAAAUGCAAAUUACCUUACAAAUUUAAUGACAUAAUACAUAUCAGGUUCAUGUAAUUAUGGAUAGAAAAAAAAUCUGGAAGUUGAGAGGGCCUGCCUGCUUGACAGGCAGUAUAUGCAAUACAUUUUACAUGUGGGAGGGUUAAUUCAUAUGUCUUUUAAGGCACAGUCUUCAAAUAUUUUACAUCUAAAUUAAGGGAAACUAACUUACUAAAGGAAGCAAAUAGAGUGACUUCUAAGCAAGCUAUGAGCAUGUACUUUUAAAUCCCAUGACUGAAAUUAUUUGAGAAAUCCUUUGUGAUAUAAGAAAGAUUAUUCAUAAAGAAUUUUAGCACCUGUUUACAAAUUCACAAGUCAUGUUAAGCAGCAUAACUUGAAAAGAAAACCUUUUGAAGGAAACAACUUGUGUCAGUGUCAUUAUGAAUAUUUUACAUUGACAUCAAACAGAAUAAAACCCAUAUUUUAUUUAACAUGAUCUAUUUAUUGAUUGCAUACUGGGUACACAAUUUUAAACAAAACAAAUAUGACCACAUUAUCCCAUGUCUAAGAAGAAAGGAGAGCAUUCAACAUAUAAUUUUUCUAAUCUAGGAUUAUGUAACAAAGUGUUUUGAGAAAGCACUGUUUGCAAUGGGAAAGUAUAAUGGAAUUAUAACUUUGGUUGGAUACUUAGGGUAGUCUUCUCAGAGGAAGUUUUAAUGUGGUGGAUACUAAGAAUUGUCUAAGUGAAUCAUGAGAAUGAAGACUGGGAAGAAGAAAUAAUAGUCCAGUUAGAACUGUGUCUUUGGGAACUGUACGGAGAGGAUAUCUUGACAAAUUUGAGGAACUGAAAGAUUCCUAUUGAGUCUCCAGUUGAGUGAUCAAAGGGAUGCAGGUCAGAGUAGGUACAAGUAGGAGAACUAAGGCAACUUAUGAUUCUUUAAGAGUCUUAUAAGAUACACAUUGAAAAUUUUAGAUAUUAAUCAGAAUACAAUGGGGCUUUUAUUCUGAUUUGUACAGAUUUCCAGUACAAAAAGAGUUUUGUACUGGAAAGUGACAUGAUCUACAUUAUGUUUUGAGAAGGUUAUAUUGGCAUAUGUGUGAAAAAAACUAGAGGGGAAAUAGAAGGGAUACAGGGAAACUUAUUAGGAGGCCUUUGUGGCCAUCCUGGUAAGAGAUAAUGAUGGAUGAAAUUAUGGUGGUGACACCAGAGAAGCCAAUAAUACACACACACAAACUAAGUAGAGUCAAGAGGACUUGGUAAUGAAUUGGGUCUAUAGAAUGAUGGAGAGGGGAAUGACAAGGCUAAGACAUGCCCUUUUUGGUUAAAACAAAGACUGGGAAAAAGCAAGUUUUGCAGAAAAAGAUUAACAAUUCAUGUUUCUAAAUAUGUGAAUGUUGAAAAGUUUGAAAUACUUGUAAGUCAUCCAGGUUUACAUCCAAGAUACCAUAAAUUAUGGCCUCUGCUCUUAUAUACAUGCAUGUGCAUGAAAUAGGCAAUGUAAUUGGACUGG